rnacentral:tRNA from 2 species
CGCGGGGUAGAGCAGUCCGGUAGCUCGUCAGGCUCAUAACCUGGAGGUCGUCGGUUCGAAUCCGGCCCCCGCAA